rnacentral:rRNA from 1 species
GAUGAACGCUAGCGGCAGGCCUAACACAUGCAAGUCGAGGGGUAGAAGUUGCUUGCAACUUUGAGACCGGCGCACGGGUGCGUAACGCGUAUGCAAUCUGCCUUGUACUGAGGGAUAGCCCAGAGAAAUUUGGAUUAAUACCUCAUAGUAUUAUGGUGUGGCAUCACAUUAUAAUUAAAGAUCCAACGGUACAAGAUGAGCAUGCGUCCCAUUAGUUAGUUGGUAAGGUAACGGCUUACCAAGACGAUGAUGGGUAGGGGUCCUGAGAGGGAGAUACCCCCCACUUGUACUGAGACACGGACCAGACUCCUACGGGAGGCAGCAGUGAGGAAUAUUGGGCAAUGGGCGCAAGCCUGAACCAGCCAUGCCGCGUGCAGGAUGACGGUCCUAUGGAUUGUAAACUGCUUUUAUACGGGAAGAAACACUCCUACGUGUAGGAACUUGACGGUACCGUAAGAAUAAGGAUCGGCUAACUCCGUGCCAGCAGCCGCUGUAACAC